GAACAUGAUGGCAAUCUAGCUGUGACAUUAAUCACCCUAUUGAUCACCAGGACUGAUUUAGUUGAUGUGGCUGGCUAGGCAGUUGUUCCCUUCCUCCCUCACCACUCCAUGUAUAUCCUUCCCAAAAGAAGCUAUGGGCUUGGUCAAAGAUGACCUUCCCUAAUAAAAUGAUCUGUCUUUGAUGGUCAAGGGCCUAGAGUAGCUGUGUUCCUUUACCAGAACCUCCAAACAGACUCUCAAGAAAUAGUUAUAUCUUGGAAUUUUAUGGAUUUUGUACAUAUUUUUAUUUUGAAUGUUAAAAAAAAUCUACCAACUUUUCUUU
rnacentral:snRNA from 1 species